UUCCAGUGGUGACUUUAUUUUUGUGCCACGUGUCUGGGCCUCUGAUUAUUGGUGAUGGGAUUGAGGAGCUGAGGAG
rnacentral:snoRNA from 1 species